UACGGAGGGUGCAAGCGUUAUCCGGAUUCACUGGGUUUAAAGGGUGCGUAGGUGGGCUGGUAAGUCAGUGGUGAAAUCUCCAGGCUUAACUUGGAAACUGCCAUUGAUACUAUCAGUCUUGAAUACCGUGGAGGUCAGCGGAAUAUGUCAUGUAGCGGUGAAAUGCUUAGAUAUGGACAUAGAACACCAAUUGCGAAGGCAGCCUGGCCUACACGAAUAUUGACACUGAUGCACGAAAGCGUGGGGAUCAAAGCAGGAUUAGAUACCCCAG
rnacentral:rRNA from 1 species